GGCUUAUAUAAGACCAUGAAUAAGCAUUUGUUUUUGUUCAAAUAUAUUGGGGUUGUCAAAUUAGGUUUUUGGAAGGGAUGGGAGUGAUGAUUUGUACUUUUUAUAAUGCUAAUGAAACUAUCCAGCUGCCAAUCCAAUCAGUUUUUGGACAUGAAAUGGAGGAGAGUACUUGACAUUGUGGACUCUGCGCAUGGUGGUGUUGGUGUACUUAUUGGAGACAUUAAGUGAAGGAAGUGUCUCCUUGAUAGCACAAGCUAUCGGUUUCCUGUUGUGAACUAACAGGUUUUUCUGGCAUUGCUAAGCAUGGACAAAGAGGACAAAUAUUUGCCAUGGCGAUACCCUACAAAAUAUAACUUCAACACCACUUUGCAUUUUGCCUAAAGCAUGUAUUAAAUAGCAUGGGGGCUUGUUUUUGCUAAUAUAAAAACAGGUUGGUUGAUAA